rnacentral:rRNA from 1 species
AACGAACGCUGGCGGCAGGCCUAGCACAUGCAAGUCGAGCGAGGACUUCGGUCCUAGCGGCGGACGGGUGAGUAACGCGUGGGAACGUGCCCUUUGCUACGGAAUAGCCCCGGGAAACUGGGAGUAAUACCGUAUGUGCCCGAGAGGGGAAAGAUUUAUCGGCAAAGGAUCGGCCCGCGUUGGAUUAGGUAGUUGGUGGGGUAAUGGCCUACCAAGCCGACGAUCCAUAGCUGGUUUGAGAGGAUGAUCAGCCACACUGGGACUGAGACACGGCCCAGACUCCUACGGGAGGCAGCAGUGGGGAAUCUUAGACAAUGGGGGAAACCCUGAUCUAGCCAUGCCGCGUGAGCGAUGAAGGCCUUAGGGUUGUAAAGCUCUUUCAGUGGGGAAGAUAAUGACGGUACCCACAGAAGAAGCCCCGGCUAACUCCGUGCCAGCAGCCGCAGUAACAC